CCUCUGAGGUAAAAUGAGCCAUAGCUUUGAAUUCCGUUUCUGAGUUUGAAUUUGAGACUGCUGGUUACUUUUUAGCAGACCAAGAUAACAAAAAUUACCCCCAUACCAUACACUUGAACCAGUUAUUGACCUUCUAUCUGAUGAUCCUCCCCAAUCAGAGUCUGUGUAUGUAUUUAGGUUUAAUUCUCCUUCUGAUCCUUUUGUUAUCCUUAGACCCAAGUUUGAAGUGCCUCGUAGGUAUCUAAUUAAAAAUCCUUCUCACCGCUAGCAAGUGUCCUUCCUUUGGAUUCUGAAGAAAUUGACACACCUGGUUUAUUGCAAAUGAUAAAUCAGGCCUAGUAAGAGCUAGAUAUUGUAGGCUCCCUACCAUGCUUCUAUAGCAUGUUAUAUAUGCCCUCCACUAACUCUCCCAUGUCUUGGUGUAAUUAACUUUUGUGACAACGUCAUUGGUGUCCUUACAGAGUUUGAUUUACAAAACAAAAAUGUAAGAGUUUACAAAGUCAAUGAAACACAAGAAAGAACCAAAUUGAGACUAAUCGUUGGAUGAAUUGAAAGAAAAGAUUCACAAAGAGAUACACAUCAUGAGUUUAAUCAGAUAGAAACCUAAUUAAAACAGUUUAAUUGAAUUGAGACUAAUAAAGAACUUGAAUUGCAGACCGGAUUUGUUACCUGAAAAAUGGGAAGAACAGAACACGAAUUAUCACACAAAAACGAACUUAGAGAAUUUUGAGCACUGAAGAUCGAUCAACAAAAGACAGAGCAAAAGGAAAACUCACAAAUGUAAAUAUAUCCAGUAGUUUGAACUCGAUCUAUUUCCCAAUUCUUUUAUAACUUCAAAAAUUCUGUUACUUCAAAGCACUAACUGUUUCAUUCCAGGUGUGCUUCUUUAUACUAGUUUCAUCAUAUCAAUAUAUAAAUAGAAAGAGAUUCAAAUGAGAUAACUUAAAAAGAUAUUGAUGAAGGACUAAUCAAAUCAAAA
rnacentral:lncRNA from 1 species